CAUCAGGAGAUGGCUCAGGAGGAAGAGACCACAGGGUGCUGUUUCUUCAAGAUGCCCAAAUUCAAGUUCUCCUUCAAGGUACAGUUCAGUUUAUGUAACGGGUCACUGUAAUGUGUCUAUUAUGUGGACUAAUUGUGAUCUGACAGACUAGUGAGUGAAGGACAAAUCCGUUCAGACUGAUGUGAGUAUGCAGAUUUAAUAUUUCUUCAUUAAUCAAUUUCUGAAUUUGAACUAAUCGUUUUCUUUCUUCAUCAGAAAAUAAUGAGAGGAGCUAAAGUUGGGCAUUACCACAACGUUACCUCAUUUGAAGAGCAGAACGGUAAUGUGCCAGCCUGUGAGACUCAGCUGAAGGAGGAGCCCUCUGCUGAGUUGGAUGCUUCUGAGGGUCUCACUAAACAGAAUUAGAUUGCAUCUGGACUUGCCAACACAUCAUGUCCAGAGAAGGGACUUCCUGACUUAAGUCACUUACAGAACUUACAGAAGUGAUCAUAGUUCAUUAAAUACAUUUCAUCAAA